CGUUCAUCCUUAUAAUUUAAGGACGGAAGUAAGCGAAAUGCCGAAGGAACGCAC
rnacentral:ncRNA from 1 species